GGGAAGCUCCCCUAUUCAGUCAGAGCGUACCGACUCUUCUGUCUGGUCAAACUCAUCAUUGGCACAUCCAUUUGCAGCAAACGAACAAGGGCAAGGCUAUCCAUAUUCCCAUCGACAGGGCUUGUUCCCCGGAUCACAUCAUGUGGGAUCUGCUCCAUCAGGAAUUCCUCUGGAUAGGCGUUUGGGUUUUUUUUCCGAGUCUCCUGAAACCUCAUAUAUGAACCAAGUUGCAUAUGGUAGUUCAGGUUCUAGUCAUAGUCAUGGUAUGAGUAUAGGUCGCCUUGGGUCAAUGAACAUGGCUGGUUCUCCUAUCUCUAGAAUGAUUCCACUGCCUAGGAACGGGCCUAUAUUUUUUGGAAAUGGCUCAUAUGGAGGAACAGGAACGACUAACAAUGAAGGGAUAAUCGAACAAGUUCGGAGUCGAAGAGUUGAAAGUGGAAGUGAGAUAGACAACAAAAAACAAUAUCUGCUUGAUUUGGAGAAGAUCACGAGUGGAGAAGAUGCUAGGACUACUUUAAUGAUUAAAAACAUCCCAAACAAGUAUACCUCAAGGAUGCUACUCACAGCAAUUGAUGAGACUCAUAAGAAUACAUAUGAUUUCCUCUACUUGCCUAUUGACUUCAAGAACAAAUGUAACGUUGGUUACGCCUUCAUCAACAUGGUGUCUCCUUCACAUAUCAUCUCCUUUUAUGAGGUAUUCAAUGGGAAGAAGUGGGAAAAGUUCAACAGUGAAAAGGUUGCCUCCUUGGCUUAUGCGCGUAUCCAAGGAAAGGUAGCCUUGGUUGCUCAUUUCCAGAACUCAAGCCUAAUGAACGAAGACAAGCGGUGCCGGCCAAUUCUUUUCCGGUCAGAGGGUCAAGAAACAGCUGACCAGGAACUGUUGCCAACCAACAAUCUGAACAUUUGUGUUCGUCUGCCUGAUGGAUCAUAUUCUGGAGAUUCUUUGGAUAGUCCAAAUAGUGAUGUGGAUGCGAAGCUCUACAUGCACUGAGAAUAUCGGCUGACUCGUAACUAUGAUACAUGGUGGCAAUGAGUUCUAACUGUGAAUAGGAAUAGUAGUACAUAAUAACGUAUUGAGCCGGACAUCCCAUAUAAUCUUUGUGCGCGCUAGGCAGUGUCUUGCUUUUUGAUCAAACGACACUCCACAACAUGCGGAUGGCAAUAUGUUACCGAGGCAGAGAGCAUUUUGUUUGUACCUUGAGUGAUGAUAAUUGAUGUUUUAUCCAAUGGGAGUUUGAUAAAGCAUUCAGGCAACAUGUGAAGUCUCUCUGCUGUUGAUAAUGCUUUGCUGCUAUAAUUGUAUAGAACCUCUUUUUUUACUUGUUUGGUUGUCUUGUAUACUUGUGGUGGGUUUGUUUUUCCACAUAGUAUACAUGUUUUAGAGUGUAAAGGGACUGUCUCCAAGUGUAUAAUAUGGAAUACAGACCCUGCACUUUU
rnacentral:misc_RNA from 1 species